rnacentral:rRNA from 1 species
GGAGGAUGCGAGCGUUAUCCGGAUUUAUUGGGUUUAAAGGGUGCGUAGGCGGACUUUUAAGUCAGCGGUAAAAUUGAGGGGCUCAACCCCUUCCCGCCGUUGAAACUGGGAGUCUUGAGUGGGCGAGAAGUAUGCGGAAUGCGUGGUGUAGCGGUGAAAUGCAUAGAUAUCACGCAGAACCCCGAUUGCGAAGGCAGCAUACCGGCGCCCGACUGACGCUGAAGCACGAAAGCGUGGGGAGCAAA